rnacentral:rRNA from 1 species
UACGUAGGGUGCGAGCGUUGUCCGGAAUUACUGGGCGUAAAGAGCUCGUAGGUGGUUUGUCGCGUUGUUCGUGAAAACUCACAGCUCAACUGUGGGCGUGCGGGCGAUACGGGCAGACUAGAGUACUGCAGGGGAGACUGGAAUUCCUGGUGGUAGCGGUGGAAUGCGCAGAUAUCAGGAGGAACACCGGUGGCGAAGGCGGGUCUCUGGGCAGUAACUGACGCUGAGGAGCGAAAGCAUGGGGGAGCGAACAGG